rnacentral:rRNA from 1 species
UACGGGGGGGGCAAGCGUUGUUCGGAAUUACUGGGCGUAAAGGGCUCGUAGGUGGCCAACUAAGUCGGACGUGAAAUCCCUCGGCUUAACCGGGGAACUUCGUCCGAUACUGGUUGGCUUGAGUUUGGGAGAGGGAUGCGGAAUUCCAGGUGUAGCGGUGAAAUGCGUAGAUAUCUGGAGGAACACCGGUGGCGAAGGCGGCAUUCUGGACCAAUACUGACGCUGAGGAGCGAAAGCCAGGGGAGCAAACGGG